CAAAGCACUUUGAAGAGAGAGUUAAAUAGGACGUGAAACCGGUGAGGUGGAAACGGAUAGAGCCGACGUAUCUGUCCUGUAUUCAGCCACUGAUUGGGUGUGAUUUAUCAUGCUCGAUAGUGGUGCACUUACAGGUGGAGUGCGCUGAGACUUGUGGUGAAGUGGCUUGAUAGUUGCUUUGCGAGCGUGCCUUUACGGGUGCGUUUCCCGGGCAUUUGGAGAGCUGUCAUCACUGCAUGUAGCGUGUGGCCACUCGUGCCUAUUGGCCUUCCGGUGGGCGUAGGGUUUUCGGCUCGCAUGCGAGUUCCGUCAAUCGCAAAACUCACUGGUUGGUUCGAUGGCGGGGUUGUGCAUCUCGGUGUGAAAGUUGGUCAUCUAUCCGACCCGUCUUGAAACACGGACCAAGGAGUUUAGCGCAUGCGCGAGUCAUUGAGUGAACGAAACUCAUAGGCGUAAUGAAAAUAAACGCCUAGCGGAUAUGUGAUCCCGGACGCCACUCAAAUGGCUAAGGGCGCAGCAUAGCCCUGUGACGAUUGCGCUUGCGCAAUGUUGCGGAGGUAGAGCGUAUGUGAUGAGACCCGAAAGAUGGUGAACUUUACCUGAGCAGGAUGAAGCCGGAGGAAACUCUGGUGGAGGUCCGAAGCGGUUCUGACGUGCAAAUCGAUCGU
rnacentral:rRNA from 1 species